AUUGAACGCUGGUGGAAUGCUUUACACAUGCAAGUCGAACGGUAGAGGGGGCAACCCCUCGAGAGUGGCGAACGGGUGAGUAAUAUAUCGGAACGUGCCCAGUCGUGGGGGAUAACGUAGCGAAAGUUACGCUAAUACCGCAUACGAUCUAAGGAUGAAAGCGGGGGAUCGCAAGACCUCGCGCGAUUGGAGCGGCCGAUAUCAGAUUAGGUAGUUGGUGGGGUAAAGGCUCACCAAGCCAACGAUCUGUAGCUGGUCUGAGAGGACGACCAGCAACACAGGAACGGAGACACGGUCCAGACUCCUACGGGAGGCAGCAGUGGGGAAUUUUGGACAAUGGACGCAAGUCUGAUCCAGCCAUUCCGCGUGCAGGAUGAAGGCCCUCGGGUUGUAAACUGCUUUUGUACGGAACGAAAAGGUCUCUCUUAAUACGGGGGACUCAUGACGGUACCGUAAGAAUAAGCACCGGCUAACUACGCGCCAGCAGCCGCCGUAA
rnacentral:rRNA from 1 species